CCGAGAUUCCCCCAGUAGCGGCGAGCGAACGGGGAGGAGCCCAGAGUCUGAAUCAGCGUGUGUGUUAGUGGAACGGUCUGGAAAGUCCGGCGAUACAGGGUGACAGCCCCGUACACGAAAGCACACAGGCUGUGAACUCGAAGAGUAGGGCGGGACACGUGGUAUCCUGUCUGAAUAUGGGGGGACCAUCCUCCAAGGCUAAAUACUCCUGACUGACCGAUAGUGAACCAGUAC
rnacentral:rRNA from 1 species